UACGUAGGGGGCUAGCGUUGUCCGGAAUCAUUGGGCGUAAAGCGCGUGUAGGCGGUUCGGUAAGUCCGCUGUGAAAGUCGGGGGCUCAACCCUCGGAAGCCGGUGGAUACUGUCGAGCUAGAGUACGGAAGGGGCGAGUGGAAUUCCUGGUGUAGCGGUGAAAUGCGCAGAUAUCAGGAGGAACACCAGCGGCGAAGGCGGCGCUCUGGGCCGGUACUGACGCUGAGGAGCGAAAGCGUGGGUAGCAAACAGG
rnacentral:rRNA from 1 species